rnacentral:lncRNA from 1 species
GAACUUAAAAAAUUGGAUCCAAUCCGGAUUGUCAAUUUCUUCAAUUCGAAAACAGAAAAUCUAAACCGAAUUUUCAUAUGCAAUCUGAGCUGCCCACCCCUAAAAUUUAGUAAACAUGUAACAUGACUAAAGUGGAUCUCAUCAACAAGGAUAAAUAUCAAAAAAUGAAUUUCAAUCAUCUGGUUGGUGUCAGAGACAGAUAUCAAUCAUCUAAACUGACUACUGAAAUGGUUCAAUUUUCCUGCAAACUACAAGGGAAUCAAAAAGGCAAAGAACUGACUUCUAAAGAAGCUAUUAAACAAAAUGCACAUUCACAUCAAGCAUCAACAAAGCAGAAAAUACAGCCAAUGUAUACACGAUAACAGUUGCUCGAAUCGUUGGACCCUGAGAAGUCGGACUGAUAGGUCCAAAUGCUGCCGGAGGAAACAGCCCACCUGGAGUCGAACUAUCGAAUAAAAGAAAGCAAUUUAGCACAGAGAAGCAAUAUUUUUGCAAUUUACCAUGCACACAUAUACUUAGUUUAGUAAUCUCACCUUCCUGUAAAUUUACAUGUUUUGGAAC